rnacentral:pre_miRNA from 1 species
GUAAUACUCCCUCCGUCCCAAAAUAAGUGACUCAACUUUGUACUAACUUUGUAGUAAAGCUAGUACAAAGUUGAGUCACUUAUUUUGGGACGGAGGGAGUAUGUG